AUAACACUCUAAUUUGCAACAUUUUGUUGUAUUAAAGGUUGUACAUCAAGCUUGGUUGAUGUCUCAGGCAGUAAAGAUUGUACACAUUGCUUAAAGUCAUGUACUACUUGACCUUAACUUUUCCCUACUUGUACAUAAAAGAACAUGAGAUGCAGACUUUAGACUUUAGAGAGAGAAAGUAAGAGUCUGAGAAAGUAGAGAGAGAGAGCAGCAAAGAAAAAGGAUCCGAUGGGUUCCGGUCGCCGGUGAUGACGGAGCCAUGGUGCCUUUAGAUGGAGCUACAACAGUGAUGGUCUAGGUGGUGUCGGGUUGGAGAAAGAAACAACAGUGGUGGUGCUAGGGUUUGAUAGAGGAUGAUGGUGGUAAGAGGCGGUGGUUCAGUUAUGUGACGACUUCUUCCUUUUCUUAAAACCCCCUUAUGUCUUGUCUCUCAUGUCCUUAUCAUUCCUCUAGGGUUCUCCCCUUUCUCCGACGAAGGAGCCGACAACGGUAGUGAUGGCCGACCAUGAUGAAGACGAUGGUGUUUCUUUUGUUGAGAAGUGACGGUGGUAGUGAUGGUCGGGAAGACGAUAGUGUUUCUUUUGUUGAGAAGUGGCGGUGGAGGCAAAGAUUAGGGUUCCGCGAUGUCUUCUGGUAUAGUUCAUGCCAAACUCAGGUAAGGUUCGACUCUGUUAGUAUUCCGUAAAACCGAGCCACUUUGUCGUCUUUACCAAAGAAAUUAUAUACUCUUAUGUUACCCUUAAAAAAUAACUGAAUUUGACUUAAUAGUGACCGUUUGAUCAAGCUGAGAUGAGAUAUCAGCUGUGUAAAUUAACCCAAUUCUUCUAGAAGGAGCAGUUUUUCAGCAGUUGUAACUUGUGUUGUAACCUCCUGUUUUUGAGGAUGAACCUGGGUAACCAGAAUCAUGUAUUUUAAUAGGCCACUCCGAUGUGAUUCAAAUAUUUCUUUUGAUGUUUGAUUUGCCAUAUGAAGCUGUAUCAACACUCUUUUAACCCACUCGGUGGCGCGUGAUGUUCACUCAACUCUAUCAACGACGCCCGCCACCGGUGAUGACGUAGCGGUGGUGAAUAGUGAAUUGGAGACGGACCCGCCCGAAGGUUCUGUGGAAGAGGUACACUGAAUGUCUGUACCAGCAUAAAGAACUAGGCUUGUAUUUGGAGGUGAGCCGGGUCAGGUUUACAUAUGGGUUUGUGAGGGAGAUGGAGCCUAGGUUUGCUAAGGCGAUGGAGGAGCUUGAAAAGGGGAUGAUUUUAAACCCAUCGUACCCGACACGACCCCAAUCGCAGAUUGGAAGGUUACCAUUUAAAGAACAUCAAAUAUGAUAGCUGGAGUUCAAAUUUCAUCCUGCUUGUAUAAAGAUGACACCAGAGGAGGCUAAACAGAUAUGGCUAAUGCAAUUGUCUUGGCAGACUGAUUUCUUGCAAAACUACAAUCUUUAAACUAUUGGUAGGCCACUCCAAUUGUUUGAUCUGAAAGUGAUUACACGACUUCAGAUUUAUCCAAGCAAUUUCGAAUUUCUCCAACAAUAUUACGGUACAACAAAGCUAUUGUAGGCGUUCUAACAAGUAUUGAUACAUAGCUUGGAGGUUAGUAUGCAGUAUGGUGACGGAACCCAUAUCAGUUGGUUUGAACGUUGGUCUUGACAUUGUUAGGGGAAGCUCCAGUUUUCUUUGUUGAUGAUUUACGUACAUGCCAAUAUUUUAAAUAGAUAUCAUCUGAAACUAAAGGAAUCUGAAACAACCAUUAUUGUUGGGAAUAAGAAGAUAGUAUCAUGUUAGAAUUCUAAUUUAUUUUAGUA